rnacentral:lncRNA from 1 species
CAUUUGGAUCUCCAAUCAUUAUUUAUCAUCUGAGAGAUUUAGAUUUCUCCCUCAAUCUACUUUUGGACGUUCACAAUGUCUGCAUUUUGGAGUCAGAAGAGAAAGCCAUGAGGAGAGGGAAAAGUAACUUCAAUAAACUAUUUAACACAAACAACUAGAUGGCAGCCGUCAGCCUGAAUGAAUCACGGAGUGAGAGACUAAGGUGAUAGGUACCUUCAAGGAUCUCCAAGGCUCCAUACAAAGUAGUGCAUGGCUUUCAGAUUCUUCACCAGAGCAAGGGUAUUAGACAAAACGGCCCGAGGUGUCCCCCUGUAAGCUACCCAAUUAGGGUUAUUAAUUUGUAAAAUUAUUUUAGGGAUUUAAUUCUGUUAUCUUUCCUUAGAGUUCAUUUUUAUUCCCUAAUCUCUGUAAAGGUCUGCUGAAUAUUUA